AAGAAGAAAAGGAGGAGGAGGAGGCUUCCACCUCGACAUAUAUGCGGUGAAACCGCGCGCCUCCUGACUCAGUGCUUGACAGGCUAGCAAGCUUUAAGGAUCUAUAAAAAGAGAUAGACACCACGAGGAGAUCAGCGUAUCUCACUCACUCUAUUAGUUACCUCCGAGGAGGGUAUCCUAUUCUUGUCACUGGGAGCAUCAUCUCGAGUCUGACGUAAUAUAGGGAAAGAACGAUUUAAGGAGGAAGGAUCGAAGGAAGAAAUCACGAUCGAUAAAAUCGCGAAGGUCGAGCGUGUUGGUGGUGGUAUCGUUGCGAGUGGAACUGGAGAAAGAGGAAAAA